rnacentral:rRNA from 1 species
GAUGAACGCUGGCGGCGUGCUUAACACAUGCAAGUCGAACGAUGAAAGCGGGAGCUUGCUCCUGCUGGAUUAGUGGCGAACGGGUGAGUAACACGUGAGCAAUCUGCCCCGAACUCUGGGAUAAGCGUUGGAAACGACGUCUAAUACCGGAUACGACGCGCGAAGGCAUCUUCUGCGCGUGGAAAGAACUUCGGUUCGGGAUGAGCUCGCGGCCUAUCAGCUAGUUGGUGAGGUAACGGCCCACCAAGGCGACGACGGGUAGCCGGCCUGAGGGGGUGACCGGCCACACUGGGACUGAGACACGGCCCAGACUCCUACGGGAGGCAGCAGUGGGGAAUAUUGCACAAUGGGCGCAAGCCUGAUGCAGCAACGCCGCGUGAGGGAUGACGGCCUUCGGGUUGUAAACCUCUUUUAGCAGGGAAGAAGCGAAAGUGACGGUACCUGCAGAAAAAGCACCGGCUAGCUACGUGCCAGCCGCCGCCGUAAAAC